rnacentral:tRNA from 1 species
GGUGGCUCAGCGGUAGAGUGCUUGCCUUGCAAGCAUGAGGCCCUGAGUUUGAUUCCUCAGCACCA